rnacentral:rRNA from 1 species
AACGAACGCUGGCGGCAGGCUUAACACAUGCAAGUCGAACGCAUCCUUCGGGGUGAGUGGCAGACGGGUGAGUAACGCGUGGGAACGUGCCCUUCAGUUCGGGAUAACCCAGGGAAACUUGGGCUAAUACCGGAUACGUGCGAGAGCAGAAAGAUUUAUCGCUGAAGGAUCGGCCCGCGUCUGAUUAGCUAGUUGGUGGGGUAAUGGCCCACCAAGGCGACGAUCAGUAGCUGGUCUGAGAGGAUGAUCAGCCACAUUGGGACUGAGACACGGCCCAAACUCCUACGGGAGGCAGCAGUGGGGAAUAUUGGACAAUGGGCGCAAGCCUGAUCCAGCCAUGCCGCGUGAGUGAUGAAGGCCUUAGGGUUGUAAACUCCUUUCGCCAUUGACGAAGCCCUUUGGGGUGACGGUAGGUGGAGAAGAAGCACCGGCUAACUACGUGCCAGCCGCCGCCGUAAAAC